rnacentral:rRNA from 1 species
GACGAACGCUGGCGGUGUGCUUAACACAUGCAAGUCGAACGGAAAGGCCUUUCUUUUGUGGCGUGCUCGAGUGGCGAACGGGUGAGUAUCCCGUUAGUAACCUGCCCUUGACUUUGGGAUAACUCCAGUAAACUGUGGCUAAUACCGGAUAGGAGCUCCUGCUGCAUGGUGGGGGCUUGAAUGUUUGGGCGGUUGUGGUUGGGCUCGCGGCUUCUCAGCCUGUUGGUGGGGUAGUGUCUUACCAGGGCUUCGACGGGUAGCCGGCCUGAGAGGGUGACCGGCCACAUUGGGACUGAGAUACGGCCCAGACUCCUACGGGAGGCAGCAGUAGGGAAUAUUGCACAAUGGGCGGAAGCAUGAUGAAGCAACGCCGCGUGCGGGAUGAAGGACUUCGGGGUGUAAACCGCUGUCGCCUGUGACGAAGCGGGAGUGACGGUAAUGGGUAAAGAAGCACCGGCUAACUACGUG